rnacentral:rRNA from 1 species
UGGGGAAUAUUGGGCAAUGGGCGCAAGCCUGACCCAGCAACGCCGCGUGAAGGAAGAAGGCUUUCGGGUUGUAAACUUCUUUUAAGAGGGACGAAAAAAAUGACGGUACCUCUUGAAUAAGCCACGGCUAACUACGUGCCAGCAGCCGCGGUAAUACGUAGGUGGCAAGCGUUAUCCGGAUUUACUGGGUGUAAAGGGCGUGUAGGCGGGGCAGCAAGGCAGGCGUGGAAACCAUGGGCUCAACGCAUGGCCUGCGUUUGAAACUGUUGUUCUUGAGUGAUGGAGAGGCAGGCGGAAUUCCUAGUGUAGCGGUGAAAUGCGUAGAUAUUAGGAGGAACACCAGUGGCGAAGGCGGCCUGCUGGACAUUAACUGACGCUGAGGCGCGAAAGCGUGGGGAGCAAACA